GACGAGUUGACCGAGUGGUUAAGGUGUUGCACUCGAAAUGCAAUGGUGUUUCGCCGCGGGAGUUCAAAUCUCCCACUCGUCG
rfam:Nannochloropsis gaditana CCMP526 unplaced genomic scaffold scaffold070, whole genome shotgun sequence.